rnacentral:lncRNA from 1 species
AUGAUCUCCGCAGCCAGGCGGGCUUCCUCGCCGGGCUGGGGAAGUGCUGACCGGCCGCCCGGGGCUGGCCUCCGCGCCGCGCCGCGCCGCACCUGUGGCCCGCCCGCUCGCCCGCCCGCCCGCUCGCCCCGCCGCGGCCCUGACCAGGCAGCUCUGCGGCCAGCCUGCCCCAUGCUCGCCCCGCGGCCGCCCCGGGCUGCGGGUCCGACCCCGCCGGUCACAGAGCUCGCUCCCCGCCUCCCCGGGGAGGGAGCUCCAGCCUCACCCCGCCGUCAUCACCACAUUGUAGAUGACCAGGAGAAGAAUUGGAACAUGGGGCAAGAAGUACUCAUGGUUAAGCAGUCUUGGCCAAAGAUGGAUGAUCUGUAUGAAGGCUUUGCUGUCCUGGAUCCAAGGUAUACAAUCAGUUCCCUGGGGGUGGAGAGAGUUUCUGGCAUAAACUCAGUACCUGUGUGCCAGGGUGCGUUAAACUGGGAAAUGUUUGACCUUUUCUAA